CCUACGGGCGGCAGCAGUGGGGAAUAUUGGGCAAUGGGCGCAAGCCUGACCCAGCAACGCCGCGUGAAGGAAGAAGGCUUUCGGGUUGUCAACUUCUUUUCUCAGGGACGAAGCAAGUGACGGUACCUGAGGAAUAAGCCACGGCUAACUACGUGCCAGCAGCCGCGGUAAUACGUAGGUGGCAAGCGUUAUCCGGAUUUACUGGGUGGAAAGGGGGUGGAGGCGGGAAAGCAAGUCAGAUGUGAAACCCAUGGGCUCAACCUGUGGCCUGCCUUUGAAACUGUUUUUCUUGAGUACUGGAGAGGCAGACGGAAUUCCUAGUGUAGCGGUGAAAUGCGUAGAUAUUAGGAGGAACACCAGUGGCGAAGGCGGUCUGCUGGACAGCAACUGACGCUGAGGCGCGAAGGCGUGGGGAGCAAACAGGAUUAGAUACCCCUGUAGUC
rnacentral:rRNA from 1 species